GUUAGAGUUACUCGUUAUUGGUAAAUAGCCAACUAUGGAGACUAAGGACCAGAAGAAACACAGAAAAACAGUGGACCCAAAGAUGAAAAGAAAAAGAAGUGGCAUCUGCAGGAUCUUCAGCUAGGAGACGAAGAAGAUGCCCGGAAGAGAAAUCCCAACGCUUUUGCAGUUCAGUCUGCUGUGUGGAUGGCUCGAUCCUUUCACAGAACUCAGGAUUUGAAGACCAAAAAAACAUCAUCUUCCAGUGGUUGAUCGAACUCCACUAGAGCCCCCGCCAAUAGUGGUAGUGGUGAUGGGGCCUCCAGAGUUGGAAGGAGCACUUUGAUAUAAUGCCUCAUUCGGAACUUCACCUGGCAGAAAUUGACUGGGAUCAGAGGCCCUGUGACAAUCGUGUCAGGUUGAAAGCACAGACUCACCAUUAUUGAAUGCAGGUGUGACAUUAACAUGAUGAUCUAUCUGGCUAAAGUAGCAGAUCUGGUACUGAUGCUUAUAGAUGCCAGCUUUGGGUUUGAAAUGGUAACAUUUGAGUUUCUAAACAUCUGUGAAGUACAUGGCUUUCCUAAAAUUAUGGGAGUUCUCACUAACCUCGACUCCUUCAAGCAUAAUAAGCAACUGAAGAAGACAAAGAAGCGAUUAA